CCGAAUGGGGAAACCCAGUGUGAUUCGUCACACUAUCAUUAACUGAAUCCAUAGGUUAAUGAGGCGAACCGGGGGAACUGAAACAUCUAAGUACCCCGAGGAAAAGAAAUCAACCGAGAUUCCCCCAGUAGCGGCGAGCGAACGGGGAGGAGCCCAGAGCCUGAAUCAGCAUGUGUGUUAGUGGAAGCGUCUGGAAAGGCGCGCGAUACAGGGUGACAGCCCCGUACACAAAAGCGCAUGUGCUGUGAGCUCGAUGAGUAGGGCGGGACACGUGGUAUCCUGUCUGAAUAUGGGGGGACCAUCCUCCAAGGCUAAAUACUCCUGACUGACCGAUAGUGAACCAGUACCGUGAGGGAAAGGCGAAAAGAACCCCGGCGAGGGGAGUGAAAAAGAACCUGAAACCGUGUACGUACAAGCAGUGGGAGCACCCUUCGGGGUGUGACUGCGUACCUUUUGUAUAAUGGGUCAGCGACUUAUAUUCUGUAGCAAGGUUAACCGUAUAGGGGAGCCGGAGGGAAACCGAGUCUUAAUUGGGCGUUAAGUUGCAGGGUAUAGACCCGAAACCCGGUGAUCUAGCCAUGGGCAGGUUGAAGGUUGGGUAACACUAACUGGAGGACCGAACCGACUAAUGUUGAAAAAUUAGCGGAUGACCUGUGGCUGGGGGUGAAAGGCCAAUCAAACCGGGAGAUAGCUGGUUCUCCCCGAAAGCUAUUUAGGUAGCGCCUCGUGAAUUCAUCUCCGGGGGUAGAGCACUGUUUCGGCUAGGGGGCCAUCCCGGCUUACCAACCCGAUGCAAACUGCGAAUACCGGAGAAUGUUAUCACGGGAGACACACGGCGGGUGCUAACGUCCGUCGUGAAGAGGGAAACAACCCAGACCGCCAGCUAAGGUCCCAAAGUCAUGGUUAAGUGGGAAACGAUGUGGGAAGGCCCAGACAGCCAGGAUGUUGGCUUAGAAGCAGCCAUCAUUUAAAGAAAGCGUAAUAGCUCACUGGUCGAGUCGGCCUGCGCGGAAGAUGUAACGGGGCUAAACCAUGCACCGAAGCUGCGGCAGCGAACGUAUCACCCAAGACAACUUUACGGAGUUGACGAUUGACGGAGCGAAGCGACGUCAAAGCGUUCAUUAAAGUCGAGUUGGCUUAGGGAUACGUUCGUUGGGUAGGGGAGCGUUCUGUAAGCCUGUGAAGGUGUGUCGUGAGGCAUGCUGGAGGUAUCAGAAGUGCGAAUGCUGACAUAAGUAACGAUAAAGCGGGUGAAAAGCCCGCUCGCCGGAAGACCAAGGGUUCCUGUCCAACGUUAAUCGGGGCAGGGUGAGUCGACCCCUAAGGCGAGGCCGAAAGGCGUAGUCGAUGGGAAACGGGUUAAUAUUCCCGUACUUGGUGUUACUGCGAAGGGGGGACGGAGAAGGCUAUGUUGGCCGGGCGACGGUUGUCCCGGUUUAAGCGUGUAGGUGUGUGUUCCAGGUAAAUCCGGUUCACUUUAACACUGAGGCGUGACGACGAGGCACUACGGUGCUGAAGCAACAAAUGCCCUGCUUCCAGGAAAAGCCUCUAAGCAUCAGGUAACAUCAAAUCGUACCCCAAACCGACACAGGUGGUCAGGUAGAGAAUACCAAGGCGCUUGAGAGAACUCGGGUGAAGGAACUAGGCAAAAUGGUGCCGUAACUUCGGGAGAAGGCACGCUGACACGUAGGUGAAGUGAUUUACUCAUGGAGCUGAAGUCAGUCGAAGAUACCAGCUGGCUGCAACUGUUUAUUAAAAACACAGCACUGUGCAAACACGAAAGUGGACGUAUACGGUGUGACGCCUGCCCGGUGCCGGAAGGUUAAUUGAUGGGGUCAGCGCAAGCGAAGCUCCUGAUCGAAGCCCCGGUAAACGGCGGCCGUAACUAUAACGGUCCUAAGGUAGCGAAAUUCCUUGUCGGGUAAGUUCCGACCUGCACGAAUGGCGUAAUGAUGGCCAGGCUGUCUCCACCCGAGACUCAGUGAAAUUGAACUCGCUGUGAAGAUGCAGUGUACCCGCGGCAAGACGGAAAGACCCCGUGAACCUUUACUAUAGCUUGACACUGAACAUUGAGCCUUGAUGUGUAGGAUAGGUGGGAGGCUUUGAAGUGUGGACGCCAGUCUGCAUGGAGCCGACCUUGAAAUACCACCCUUUAAUGUUUGAUGUUCUAACGUGGACCCGUAAUCCGGGUUGCGGACAGUGUCUGGUGGGUAGUUUGACUGGGGCGGUCUCCUCCUAAAGAGUAACGGAGGAGCACGAAGGUUGGCUAAUCCUGGUCGGACAUCAGGAGGUUAGUGCAAUGGCAUAAGCCAGCUUGACUGCGAGCGUGACGGCGCGAGCAGGUGCGAAAGCAGGUCAUAGUGAUCCGGUGGUUCUGAAUGGAAGGGCCAUCGCUCAACGGAUAAAAGGUACUCCGGGGAUAACAGGCUGAUACCGCCCAAGAGUUCAUAUCGACGGCGGUGUUUGGCACCUCGAUGUCGGCUCAUCACAUCCUGGGGCUGAAGUAGGUCCCAAGGGUAUGGCUGUUCGCCAUUUAAAGUGGUACGCGAGCUGGGUUUAGAACGUCGUGAGACAGUUCGGUCCCUAUCUGCCGUGGGCGCUGGAGAACUGAGGGGGGCUGCUCCUAGUACGAGAGGACCGGAGUGGACGCAUCACUGGUGUUCGGGUUGUCAUGCCAAUGGCACUGCCCGGUAGCUAAAUGCGGAAGAGAUAAGUGCUGAAAGCAUCUAAGCACGAAACUUGCCCCGAGAUGAGUUCUCCCUGAGACUU
rnacentral:rRNA from 1 species